rnacentral:rRNA from 1 species
AUUGAACGCUGGCGGCAGGCUUAACACAUGCAAGUCGAACGAGUGGCGGACGGGUGAGUAAUGCUUGGAAAUCUAGCUUAUGGAGGGGGAUAACUACGGGAAACUGUAGCUAAUAACGCGUACCCAAGGAUGAGCCCAAGGGGGAUUAGGUAGUUGGUGUGGUAAAGGCUCACAAAGCCGACGAUCGCUAGCUGGUCUGAGAGGAUGACCAGCCACACUGGGACUGAGACACGGCCCAGACUCCUACGGGAGGCAGCAGUGGGGAAUAUUGCGCAAUGGGGGCAACCUGACGCAGCCAUGCCGCGUGAAUGAAGAAGGCCUUCGGGUUGUAAAGUUCUUUCGGUAGCGAGGCGUUAACUACAGAAGAAGCACCGGCUAACGACGUGCCAGCCGCCGCGGUAAUUC